rnacentral:rRNA from 1 species
GAUGAACGCUGGCGGCGUGCCUAACACAUGCAAGUCGAGCGGCAGCGAGGGGUGCUUGCACCCUGUCGGCGAGCGGCGGACGGCUGAGUAACGCGUGGGAACGUGCCCCAAAGUGAGGAAUAACUGCCCGAAAGGGUAGCUAAUACCGCAUAUUAUCUUAGGAUCAAAGGAUUUAUCCGCUUUGGGAGCGGCUCGCGUCGGAUUAGGUAGUUGGUGAGGUAAUGGCUCACCAAGCCGACGAUCCGUAGCUGGUCUGAGAGGAUGACCAGCCAGACUGGAACUGAGACACGGUCCAGACUCCUACGGGAGGCAGCAGUGAGGAAUCUUCCACAAUGGGCGAAAGCCUGACGGAGCAACGCCGCGUGCAGGACGAAGGCCUUCGGGUUGUAAACUGCUUUUAUAAGUGAGGAAUAUGACGGUAACUUAUGAAUAAGGAUCGGCUAACUACGUG